GUUCAGAUUGCAGGCUGCAACCCGCCUGCAUGAAGUCGGAAUUGCUAGUAAUCGCGGAUCAGCAUGCCGCGGUGAAUACGUUCCCGGGCCUUGUACACACCGCCCGUCACACCAUGGGAGCCGGUAAUACCCGAAGUCAGUAGUCCAACCUCGUGAGGACGCUGCCGAAGGUAGGAUUGGCGACUGGGGUGAAGUCGUAACAAGGUACC
rnacentral:rRNA from 1 species